CUACGGGCCGCAGCAGUGAGGAAUAUUGCACAAUGGGGGGAACCCUGAUGCAGCAACGCCGCGUGGAGGAUGACGCAUUUCGGUGUGUAAACUCCUUUUAUAUGUCAAGAAAAUGACGGUAGCAUAUGAAUAAGCACCCGCUAACUCCGUGCCAGCAGCCGCGGUAAUACGGAGGGUGCAAGCGUUACCAGGAAUCACUGGGCGUAAAGGACGCGUAGGCGGGUUGGAAAGUCAGGUGUGAAAUCCUACAGCUUAACUGUAGAACUGCACUUGAAACUUCUAAUCUAGAGUAUGGGAGGGGGAGAUGGAAUUAGUGGUGUAGGGGUAAAAUCCGUAGAUAUCACUAGGAAUACCUAAAGCGAAGGCGAUCUCCUGGAACAUUACUGACGCUAAGGCGUGAAAGCGUGGGGAGCAAACAGGAUUAGAUACCCCAGUAGUC
rnacentral:rRNA from 1 species